GAUGAAGAACGCAGCGAAAUGCGAUAAGUAAUGUGAAUUGCAGAAUUCAGUGAAUCAUCGAAUCUUUGAACGCACAUUGCGCCCGCCAGUAUUCUGGCGGGCAUGCCUGUUCGAUCGUCAUUACAACCCUCAGGCCCCCGGGCCUGGCGUUGGGGAUCGGCGGAAGCCCCCUGCGGGCACAACGCCGUCCCCCAAAUACAGUGGCGGUCCCGCCGCAGCUUCCAUUGCGUAGUAGCUAACACCUCGCAACUGGAGAGCGGCGCGGCCACGCCGUAAAACACCCAACUUCUGAAUGUUGACCUCGAAUCAGGUAGGAAUACCCGCUGAACUUAAGCAUAUCAAUAAGCGGAGGA
rnacentral:misc_RNA from 1 species